GUUGAAAACCCCACAAGAACAUGACAGCAUGGAAAGCCAGGACACUGUGGCAAUAAAUGUCCUACAUGAAGGAACUUGCAGGUCAGAAAAUACAGAAAGGAUUUUCUGGCCGUCCCUUGAAGCCGGUCAUAAGACCAUGAGGGGAAAGGCAUCUUCCUCCUACCUGCAAGAAAGGAGCAUCCUUAUCUCUGAAGAUGAUGGUCACAGAGAAGAAUAUGAACAAACAGGCCUGGCCAAGUUUUCCCCUUUAUAUUACCAUUGAACCAUGCCCUUUUAAACCUAUCCAUUUCUCCACAACUCUCUAACUAAGUGAAACAAUACUUUGUUUUGUCUUUGCUGAAGCAAGCAUAACAAUACUCAAGUUCACCUUCUUCUUCAGGCCUUCAUUUCCUUAUAGAGGAGCGAAACAUGACAUAGUUAUACACAAUGUCUAAAUUAUCUUAUGAAUAUACUAGAAGAAGGUAGGGUCCCAUGACUGUCCAGAUUAAAGGAUGGAAGAUAUCUGGUUCUAAUAGAACCUUGAUCCUAUGUGAGAGUAUGUAGGUUGGUUUCCCUUCUCAUGUCAUGUAAAACUGGUUAUCAAAUAAACCUGGAUGCUUC